rnacentral:rRNA from 1 species
ACUCCUACGGGAGGCAGCAGUGGGGAAUAUUGCACAAUGGGGGAAACCCUGAUGCAGCCAUGCCGCGUGUGUGAAGAAGGCCUUCGGGUUGUAAAGCACUUUCAGUAGGGAGGAAGGUAGUGUAGUUAACACCUGCAUUAUUUGACGUUACCUACAGAAGAAGCACCGGCUAACUCCGUGCCAGCAGCCGCGGUAAUACGGAGGGUGCGAGCGUUAAUCGGAAUUACUGGGCGUAAAGCGCAUGCGGGCGGCCUGUUAAGUCAGAUGUGAAAGCCCGGGGCUCAACCUCGGAAUUGCAUUUGAAACUGGCAGACUAGAGUACUGUAGAGGGGGGUAGAAUUUCAGGUGUAGCGGUGAAAUGCGUAGAGAUCUGAAGGAAUACCGGUGGCGAAGGCGGCCCCCUGGACAGAUACUGACACUCAGAUGCGAAAGCGUGGGGAGCAAACAGGAUUAGAUACCCCUGGUAGGAUAG